rnacentral:rRNA from 1 species
UACGAAGGGGGCUAGCGUUGCUCGGAAUCACUGGGCGUAAAGGGUGCGUAGGCGGGUCUUUAAGUCAGGGGUGAAAUCCUGGAGCUCAACUCCAGAACUGCCUUUGAUACUGGUAGUCUUGAGUUCGAGAGAGGUGAGUGGAAUUCCGAGUGUAGAGGUGAAAUUCGUAGAUAUUCGGAGGAACACCAGUGGCGAAGGCGGCUCACUGGCUCGAUACUGACGCUGAGACGCGAAAGCGUGGGGAGCGAACAGG